GUCAACGCUCUUUGCGAACGUGAACUCGAUCUUCGAGGAAAUAAGAUUCCUGAGAUAGAGAAUUUGGGCGCUACUGAGGGGCGGAUUUCUUUGCUUCAAGGUGAAGUAUCCACAAUCGGAUCUGAUUUGGAGGCACUCAAGGUUUGGGCUUCUGGAUUCUCUGUUGCUUUUUGAAUAGCUAUGCAGGUCACCUAAAUAUCACAAACGUACAUCUCCAAAAUGAGGUCGUGAAGCAGGUUUGUCAUAUAUUUUUGUACCUUUAAUCGUGAAGCAGGUUUGUCAUGUAUUUUUGUACCUUUAGGAAGUCAAGUCAUAUGUUUUCUAUUGAAUAUUAAUGUCAUCUCAUGUUUUGAUUUAGCAGCUGAAGGAGUCUUGUUCUCUAUAUGAAGGCUAUGUUCCAAUUAAUUACAAAAAGUAUUACCAAAAUUAAAGUAUAAGAAGCAUUACAAUGAGAGUAUAAAUGUUUUUUUUUACGAAUUCUUAAACGGGUUAAUGGGUUAAUUUGUAUUUGUAUGGGUCAACCCAAACCCGAACCCUUUUUUUAAAGGGGUCAUGUUUGACUAGUUGACUCAAACUAGUUUUUUUACGGUUCGUGUCAAGAUUGUCAUCCCUAGGUGUAGGCUAGGGAUGCAAACGAGCUAAGCUACUCAUGAGCUACUCGAGCUCCGCUUUUGAGCCAAUCUUAAACUUUGGGUUGGCGUUGGUUGGGGUGGUGCCCCUUUAGCAUGGGUAUUCAGCCUGCCGUGGGGGGGGGGGGGUUAGGGUGACUUGACUGACUUUGGUUGGCUGGUUCAAUAUGGCUGGCUUUGGUUGGCUACUUUAAUUAAAAAAAUUCACAUGGCUGGCCACGCCACACCCCUCAUUUUUCACCAUAAGCUUGUGGAUCCCACCCUCACCACGUGUCGAGCAAUGCCCCCAACCCAAGCCCCUCCACUCCCCGCAGUCUUAGGAAAAACAUAAACAAUACAUUCGUUGUUACAUUCAAACGUUUAAUUCGGUUGAACCUCGGCUACAAAGCAUCAAUUAGAACAACCACUUGAAACACAAUCAUCAUUGAUAAAAGCACCUCAUCUUAGUGUCUUUAGAUAAAUCACUACAAGUUCAAGAUGAUAAUCUACAAAAAUAAAAGGGUGGACUAGUAAAAAGAACAAAGGUUGAGGAUUGCAUACAUGCUGCUGGAUAAAAUUUAUAAAAUGACAUCUAUGAUUUAAAAGAUGUAAACCAUGUUAGGCGUGAUUAUUUUUUAUAAAGUUGGUAACAAUUUCUUCAGCAAACCUCAAUUGACUUUAAGCAAUUGUUUCCAUGUGCAUUUUAAGGCUAUUAUGGAUCCAGCUCCUGACCCGCUGAUCCGUGACUCGUGAACAACUCGAUUAGCCCAACACAAGCCCCUUCAACAACUGAUUUACAACAUAUUCAGGUGUGAGUUCUAUUUUUUUAGCAUUUUAGUUUUUGUUAUUCAAUUUCUCAAGCAUACGUAUUCCAGUGUUGAUUUACAACAUAUCCAGGUGUGUGUUUUCUUUAGUUUUGCAUAUUUAUAUUCUACAUGUUUCCAAUAGUUUUUAUGUUUUCCAAGUUAUCAGUAUGUACAAUGGAGAUAGUCUGCAUAUUACAUUAAUUUAGACCCUUUGCAUUGUUGCUAUUCAAAGUGACAAUCGAGAAGAGUUUCCUACUAUACGUGAUCAGGGUUUGGAGAAGGUGGCUUUUUUACCGAACAAGAUAUUAAGAGCCUACCAUAUUUACAGGUGAUGGCAACUCCGACAACGAAGAGCUUAAAGUGAUGUCAAAAGAAGUUGAGUAUAGUCAGUUGGCUGAUGUAGCGACAAUAAGUAGUAAGUGCUGGGAACUAUGAAGUGGAAGUAUGCCUACUAAGAAAAUGUUAACAGAUGAUUAUUUAACUCGCAUGAAGAUUGUGAAAGAGAUUCAUGAACACAAUGAAGUUUUGAGUUUUUAUUCAUGCACUUAUUAGUUUAUUUGGGUUAUAUGUUUGGUCAUUAGAUUUAGAUUGACACUUAUUAGACAUUUAGAAUCUUUGUAAGAUUGAUUGAACUUUUAAUUGAAGUGAUUAUU
rnacentral:lncRNA from 1 species